rnacentral:rRNA from 1 species
UACAGAGGUCUCAAGCGUUGUUCGGAUUCAUUGGGCGUAAAGGGUGUGCAGGCUGCCCCUCAAGUGGUGUAUGAAAGGGCUCGGCUCAACCGGGCUAGGUUAUGCCAGACUGAGGGGCUAGAGAGCGAGAGCGGGACGUGGAAUUCCGGGUGUAGCGGUGGAAUGCGUAGAGAUCCGGAAGAACGCCGGUGGCGAAGGCGGCCCGCUGGGCUGUGGCUGACGCUGAGGCGCGACAGCGUAGGGAGCAAACAGG